rnacentral:piRNA from 1 species
UCGAGGAUGUACUCUUUCCCGUGCCCACAGU